UACGGAGGAUGCGAGCGUUAUCCGGAUUUAUUGGGUUUAAAGGGUGCGUAGGCGGACUGUCAAGUCAGCGGUAAAAUUGAGAGGCUCAACCUCUUCCCGCCGUUGAAACUGGUGGUCUUGAGUGGAUGAGAGGUACGCGGAAUGCGUGGUGUAGCGGUGAAAUGCAUAGAUAUCACGCAGGACUCCGAUUGCGAAGGCAGCGUACCGGCAUCCAACUGACGCUGAGGCACGAAAGCGUGGGGAUCAAACAGG
rnacentral:rRNA from 1 species